GCACCCGUAGCUCAGCUGGAUAGAGCACCAGGCUUCGAACCUGGGUGUCAGGGGUUCGAAUCCCUUCGGGUGUACCA
rnacentral:tRNA from 1 species